rnacentral:rRNA from 1 species
CGGGUGAGUAACACGUAUCCAACCUGCCGUCUACUCUUGGCCAGCCUUCUGAAAGGAAGAUUAAUCCAGGAUGGCAUCAUGAGUUCACAUGUCCGCAUGAUUAAAGGUAUUUUCCGGUAGACGAUGGGGAUGCGUUCCAUUAGAUAGUAGGCGGGGCAACGGCCCACCUAGUCUUCGAUGGAUAGGGGUUCUGAGAGGAAGGUCCCCCACAUUGGAACUGAGACACGGUCCAA